UCCGGUUUGUCACCGGCAGUCUCGCAUGAGUCCCCAACUAAAUGCUGGCAACAUGCGACGAGGGUUGCGCUCGUUGCGGCACUUAAGCCAACACCUCACGGCACGAGCUGACGACAGCCAUGCAGCACCUGUGCUAGCCCCUUACGGACACGCGCUUUCACGCGUUUUAACUAGCAUGUCAAGCCCAGGUAAGGUUCUUCGCGUUGCAUCGAAUUAAGCCACAUGCUCCGCCGCUUGUGCGGGUCCCCGUCAAUUCCUUUGAGUUUUAGCCUUGCGGCCGUACUCCCCAGGCGGGGUGCUUAAUGCGUUAGCUACGGCACGGAAACCGUCGAUAAGUCCCCACACCUAGUGCCCAACGUUUACGGCGUGGACUAC
rnacentral:misc_RNA from 1 species